rnacentral:rRNA from 1 species
GACGAACGCUGGCGGCGUGCCUAAUACAUGCAAGUAGAACGCACAGUUUAUACCGUAGCUUGCUACACCAUAGACUGUGAGUUGUGAACGGGUGGGUAACGCGUAGGUAACCUGCCUGGUAGCGGGGGAUAACUAUUGGAAACGAUAGCUAAUACCGCAUAAUAUUAAUUAUUGCAUGAUAAUUGAUUGAAAGAUGCAACUGCAUCACUACCAGAUGGACCUGCGUUGUAUUAGCUAGUAGGUGAGGUAACGGCUCACCUAGGCGACGAUACAUAGCCGACCUGAGAGGGUGAUCGGCCACACUGGGACUGAGACACGGCCCAGACUCCUACGGGAGGCAGCAGUAGGGAAUCUUCGGCAAUGGACGAAAGUCUGACCGAGCAACGCCGCGUGAGUGAAGAAGGUUUUCGGAUCGUAAAGCUCUGUUGUAAGAGAAGAACGGGUGUGAGAGUGGAAAGUUCACACUGUGACGGUAUCUUACCAGAAAGGGACGGCUAACUACGUG